AUUAACUUUUUGUUAUUAGCCUGUGUAUCAAUUAGUUUGUAGGAAUUCGUUUGAAACACUAUUGAAGCUGAUCAGCCAUAUUGGCUUCUCAUGUUGUGUAAAUGUGAUCAGUGCAGCAUUUAGGAUCGAAAGUCAUAAUAUUUAAGCAGCAUUUUAUUUAAUAUACUGGAUGGAUGAUACCAACACUGCUCCCCUCAUACAGAUGAUGAAUAAUAGAUGUUCCUCUGGAUGCAAAUACUGCCAACCUUCAUGUAUAAAUACUGCUGUGUGACUUUUAUUUCCUCAUCAGAUCAUGGAGCACACUCGAGCCAUGUCAGUCAUAUCGUCCUCAACCCAAACGUGUUGGCUGUUGGUGUUAGUGCUGGUGACAUGGGUAGAUGGUGCUUUUGAACACACCCAGCCUAGCUUCUUGACUGUAAAGCCAGGAGAGUCUUUGAGUAUUACCUGCAAAGUGACUGGGGCAACUAUUACAGAUUCCAGCUAUUUCAGAACAGCUUGGAUUCGACAGCCAGCAGGAAAAGCCCUGAGUGGAUAAAUGCUAUAGAUUAUGAUGGUGAGCAACACCAUAGUGAUAAACUGAA